rnacentral:rRNA from 1 species
UACGGAGGGUGCAAGCGUUAUCCGGAUUCACUGGGUUUAAAGGGUGCGUAGGUGGGCUGAUAAGUCAGUGGUGAAAUCCCCGAGCUUAACUUGGGAACUGCCAUUGAUACUAUUGGUCUUGAAUGUCGUGGAGGUUAGUGGAAUAUGUCAUGUAGCGGUGAAAUGCUUAGAUAUGACAUAGAACACCAAUUGCGAAGGCAGCUAACUACACGAAUAUUGACACUCAGGCACGAAAGCGUGGGGAUCAAACAGG